UCCUAAAGACAAAGCCCAACCACGUUGCACCAGAAAUCACUCCGCUGGCUCCCCCAGAGAGUGCACGGAGGCUUCCUCCUACAUGGUAGAACUCAGGCAACACUCGAGCAUCCGUUUACCAUUGAAGGCGGCUGCAUCAGUGGGAAUUUCCAUGGCUUUUCAUCCCAGCAUCGAAGCGUGUAGAUGUCUGGCCACAGACUCCUUACCUUGUUCAUAUCUUUGCCUUGUUACCUUCGAACUGUGAUGUACAAAAGUACAUCAUACAGGUUGGGUUUUUUUUCCGAAAUUCCCU
rnacentral:lncRNA from 1 species